UACGUAGGGCGCAAGCGUUAUCCGGAAUUAUUGGGCGUAAAGAGCUCGUAGGCGGUUUGUCGCGUCUGCCGUGAAAGUCCGGGGCCUCAACUCCCGGAUCUGCGGUGGGUACGGGCAGACUAGAGUGAUGUAGGGGAGACUGGAAUUCCUGGUGUAGCGGUGAAAUGCGCAGAUAUCAGGAGGAACACCGAUGGCGAAGGCAGUCUCUGGGCAUUAACUGACGCUGAGGAGCGAAAGCAUGGGGGAGCGAACAGG
rnacentral:rRNA from 1 species